rnacentral:lncRNA from 1 species
GAAGACGCCUCCACCCUCUCUCCCGCCAGAAGUGACGUCAGUCACGUGGGAGGACAAUGGUGAGAAGAGGGAACCUAAGAAUUCCUGGACUCUGACUGGGCGUGAGAAAUGGCCGGAAGUAGCUUCGAGUCCGUCAUUCAAGCAGUAGAGGCUCUGGAGAAAAACUGGAGCGCAUCUGCUUAAAGGGCCGCCCAGGGUCAGGAUGGAGGGGCAAAGUCCGAGCAGGGGGUUUCCUCCCAUAUUGGAUCACGAUGAAAACUGCACAGAAAGUCCGUGCUCAGUUUCUUCCAUGGUUACAGAACACAGGCCCCAGACCAGGAAGGCAUUCUGCUAAAGAAGGGGACCCGAAACCUCAGCUACCAGCGCCGAUGGUUCAUCCUCCGAGGAAACCUCCUCUUCUACCUAGAACACUAGACCGACCAUGCACCCCUGAGCCUCAUCCUGUUAGAGAACUGCCAGGUGGAACCACACCUUAAGGCUGCAGAACCCUAUGCCUUUACCAUCCUGACCCCUGGGGUGGAGGGCACAGGUGGGCGGGCCUACAAGCUGGCUGCAGAAACCCAGGAAGAGCUGGAGACUUGGCUGUGGGCACUGGCUGGCGCGAGCUGGAGGCGGCUGGCUGGGCUGCUGUCCCCCCUCCCCCCCCACCAAAACCCAAUACUGGGAGCUGUGCCAGGCAACUGGCCAAGAACCCAUCUCAUCCCCAGAGGACAGUGGCUUUCUAGCCACUGUGAGUACCCCCUCCAGCUUCCAGGAGUUGCAUGAGCACUUUGGGAAGGAGAUCCGGGUGCUGCACGUGGUACAUAGAGAGCUCCAGGCAGCCAGUGACAAUGGAGACAGCAGAUCCCAGGCAAAGAUGGAGCAGGAGCUCAACCAGUGUCUGAUGAGUGACUGAGAGAUGGACCCAAAGCUAAGAGGUACCUACUUGCCAAGACAGCAGACUGCUUCAACAGAGACCCAGGUCCUGGCUCUGUCCCUCCCUCCCUCGUCCUUACCCCAUCCCCCCCUCAUCAAAUAACAAGGCAGAAAACAGGCCCAGGUA